GGGACGGCAAAAAUGUUCAUGUUCUGCUGUCCAGAUUCGGACCAUACAAGCUGUUCUAUUGGGACAUCUGUAGGACAACUCCGGGUCAGGAACUUGAGAGUGAGGUGAUCAAUGCCACCCUGUUCAGAAUGGUCCAGAAGCACAAUUGCCAAGGGGGGAAAAAGGCACUUUGCAUUGAUACAUAUGCCAUGACCAAAAUUUGGAACAGGAAGACUUCAAUUCUAAGGAAGUGUGAUCCUUCAUUGUAUGGAGUCAUUCUGGGGGUAGUGAAUGAGCCAAAUCAUUGGAUACUCACAGUCAUCUUCCCCUCAGUCUUCUACUUUUCAGAGCAUUCAUGAGAGCGAGGGGCUGUACGGUGUCCAGGUGGAAAGCCAACACUGUGCCACAUAGCCUGCAGCAGGAUUCCACUUCAUGUGGAAUAUUUGCCAUCAAAUAUGCUGAGAAAGUCCUGGCAGAGGAGUCUCCUACUUUCCCAAACACUGAAGGGGCAGUGGUUAAUUACAGGAGGGAAAUUGCUAGCACUUCUCAAUGAGACUGAUGAUCUCAGUGAGCUGUGCCACCACUGUGGAGAGGGAGAUGAGGCGCGAGGGGGGUCUCAAGACAGACCUGAUGCCACUGACUGGAUCCAGUGUGACACCUGUGGAAGGUGGUACCACGAGGGUUGUGUUGGGAGACCUGACAGAGAUCCUAUGUACAGCUGUCCUGCAUGCCCCCAGGCUCAAAUGAGUCGAUGCCGUCCAAAACGGUCCAAAAAAAGAUAACCA